rnacentral:rRNA from 1 species
AUUGAACGCUGGCGGCAUGCCUUACACAUGCAAGUCGAACGGUAACAGGUCUUCGGAUGCUGACGAGUGGCGAACGGGUGAGUAAUACAUCGGAACGUGCCUAGUAGUUGGGGAUAACUACUCGAAAGAGUGGCUAAUACCGCAUGAGAUCUACGGAUGAAAGCAGGGGAUCGCAAGACCUUGCGCUACUAGAGCGGCCGAUGGCAGAUUAGGUAGGUGGUGGGAUAAAAGCUUACCAAGCCGACGAUCGGUAGCUGGUCUGAGAGGACGAUCAGCCACACUGGGACUGAGACACGGCCCAGACUCCUACGGGAGGCAGCAGUGGGGAAUUUUGGACAAUGGGCGAAAGCCUGAUCCAGCAAUGCCGCGUGCAGGAUGAAGGCCUUCGGGUUGUAAACUGCUUUUGUACGGAACGAAAAGCCCCGGGUUAAUACCCUGGGGUCAUGACGGUACCGUAAGAAUAAGCACCGGCUAACUACGUGCCAGCCGCCGCCGUAA